GUUCGGUGGAAACGAGAAUAAAGCGUGAAGGAUAACGUUGCGUCAGCAACGGCCCGUAGGGCGAGGCAAAGCCGAGUCAUCCUGCACAACCCACCA
rnacentral:sRNA from 4 species